rnacentral:rRNA from 1 species
UUAGAGUUUGAUCAUGGCUCAGGACGAACGCUGGCGGCGUGCCUAAUACAUGCAAGUCGUACGCUUCUUUUUCCACCGGAGCUUGCUCCACCGGAAAAAGAAGAGUGGCGAACGGGUGAGUAACACGUGGGUAACCUGCCCAUCAGAAGGGGAUAACACUUGGAAACAGGUGCUAAUACCGUAUAACAAUCGAAACCGCAUGGUUUUGAUUUGAAAGGCGCUUUCGGGUGUCGCUGAUGGAUGGACCCGCGGUGCAUUAGCUAGUUGGUGAGGUAACGGCUCACCAAGGCCACGAUGCAUAGCCGACCUGAGAGGGUGAUCGGCCACAUUGGGACUGAGACACGGCCCAAACUCCUACGGGAGGCAGCAGUAGGGAAUCUUCGGCAAUGGACGAAAGUCUGACCGAGCAACGCCGCGUGAGUGAAGAAGGUUUUCGGAUCGUAAAACUCUGUUGUUAGAGAAGAACAAGGAUGAGAGUAACUGUUCAUCCCUGACCGGUUCAACAAAGCGA